CCUACGGGAGGCAGCAGUGAGGAAUAUUGGUCAAUGGACGAGAGUCUGAACCAGCCAAGUAGCGUGAAGGAUGACUGCUCUAUGGGUUGUAAACUUCUUUUAUAUGGGAAUAAAAUGUUCCACGUGUGGGAUUUUGUAUGUACCAUAUGAAUAAGGAUCGGCUAACUCCGUGCCAGCAGCCGCGGUAAUACGGAGGAUCCGAGCGUUAUCCGGAUUUAUUGGGUUUAAAGGGAGCGUAGGUGGAUGGUUAAGUCAGUUGUGAAAGUUUGCGGCUCAACCGUAAAAUUGCAGUUGAAACUGGCAGUCUUGAGUACGGUAGAGGUGGGCGGAAUUCGUGGUGUAGCGGUGAAAUGCUUAGAGAUCACGAAGAACUCCGAUUGCGAAGGCAGUUCACUGGACUGCAACUGACACUGAGGCUCGAAAGUGUGGGUAUCAAACAGGAUUAGAUACCCUUGUAGUC
rnacentral:rRNA from 1 species